rnacentral:misc_RNA from 1 species
CCGAGUUUACAACUCCCAACCCAAUGUGAACGUUACCAAACUGUUGCCUCGGCGGGAUCUCUGCCCCGGGUGCGUCGCAGCCCCGGACCAAGGCGCCCGCCGGAGGACCAACCAAAACUCUUAUUGUAUACCCCCUCGCGGGUUUUUUACUAUCUGAGCCAUCUCGGCGCCCCUCGUGGGCGUUUCGAAAAUGAAUCA